UCUACGAGAAAGAACAUUGCCGGACGGCAUGAGUACCCGGGGCAACCCGGCGAAACAGCCACCCGGAACAGUCGGCCGCGACUCAAAAGCGGUAUGUGCCGCCUUUCAGGCGGACACCCGCUCCCCCUUUCCCUUUCCUUUUUAUUUUAAGAAGAUUGAGAUUAACAAACAAAUCCUGUUCAGUUUCGGCUGGACGGGAUGAGGGCCUGUAGCUCAGUUGGUUAGAGCGCACGCCUGAUAAGCGUGAGGUCACUAGUUCAAUUCUAGUCAGGCCCACAACGAGGUUUUUGAUUCCGUCAAGAACCGAAGUAUUUCCGGUUGGCUUCCAACUGGAAAAAACAUGUUCUUUCAAAUAAACCCGAGGGUUGACCGUGCUGGACAGCAGGGGUCAGGUAUUAGGGCGGCGCUGCUCCGAUAGGAUUGGAGCGAAAGAGUGCCGAACGAGGGAAGGGGAAGAGGUAAUAUGGUCAAGCGAAUAAGGGUCCACGGAGGAUGCCUCGGAGCUGUCAGACGAUGAAGGCCGUGGUAAGCUGCGAAAAGCUGCGGAGAGGAGCAAACAUCCUGUGAACCGCAGAUAGCCGAAUGGGGAAACCCGG
rnacentral:misc_RNA from 1 species